rnacentral:rRNA from 1 species
AUUGAACGCUGGCGGCAUGCCUUACACAUGCAAGUCGAACGGCAGCACGGGAGCAAUCCUGGUGGCGAGUGGCGAACGGGUGAGUAAUAUAUCGGAACGUGCCCAGUCGUGGGGAUAACGUAGCGAAAGCUACGCUAAUACCGCAUACGAUCUAUGGAUGAAAGCGGGGGAUCGCAAGACCUCGCGCGAUUGGAGGGCCGAUAUCAGAUUAGGUAGUUGGUGAGGUAAAGGCUCACUAAGCCGACGAUCUGUAGCUGGUCUGAGAGGACGACCAGCCACACUGGGACUGAGACACGGCCCAGACUCCUACGGGAGGCAGCAGUGGGGAAUUUUGGACAAUGGGCGCAAGCCUGAUCCAGCAAUGCCGCGUGCAGGAUGAAGGCCUCGG